GCUCCUCUGAGUUAUUACUCGGAUGCAGAAAAGGACCCGUCCUUGGUCCCUGCCCUUUUAGAAUAGCAGAACCAGCCAGGUCGCCUGACUGACGCUCCAGUGCGGCCACUCGCUGGUUAAUUUCUCCAGCUUCAGCCCGAACUUGCUCACAGACAUCUGCCUGAAGUUUGGCUACGUGUUUCAAAGCACUAACCUCCGUACACAAUUGCUCCAUCCGCCGCAGCAAACAGCAUACAUCCAGGCUGGAGAAUGUAACAGGUGGUAAAUCCUCCAAGUGAUGGGAUACAAAUCUAGGGAUAUUUUCCCCACACUCAUUCAGCACUUUAAGGCAGAGCUUGAUAUUAUUGGCGUCUUUGUGCUGCCCUUUAUAUCCGACGCACCGCUGUGAAGUACUCGGGCAGAGCUCAAACAGAACUUUUUUUGAAGCUUCAAUCCCCUCAGAUUCAAAUGUGUUCGUGGCCAACAACACAAUUUCAUCCUGGCUCAAGGUUUUAAUUUUAACAGCAAGGAAAUUAAGAAGUUCAUCCUCCACAAUCACCUUGCCAUCUGUCGUCCUAUACACCUCUGGUUUUAGUCGAGAUAGUUUAGGAACUGGACCAGGAGCUGAUGCCUCGCUGCCUGCUACGUCCGCCAUUUUAAUCUCUGAAUUAUGUUGCACGAAGCACAAUUUCACAUCAUUCUGGGUCCAUUUGUGUGAAAACAAGGUCCAAUCAGGCUGAAACGUUACAGGAAGGUAGAAUCUAUUGAGUUGUAAGUGAUCUGAAUGUUUCAUGAUGAUCGCACAUUCCUAAGGGGGUCAAACCAUGUCCCAAAGGUCACCGGAUCUGGUGUCACUUUAAAUAAGUAGUCCAGUUACACCUUUGUGGGCUUAUAACUUGGCUUCGAAUGUCCUAGAGAGGUCAGGUUUGUUUUAGAGUACUCCCAUUAACAGCUCCUACAUCCCCAAAAAGGAAUGGAGUCAUUAGCACUUAUGGUUUUUAAUUGGCAACCAGAAUUAUGUCGCACAAAGCACAAUUUCACAUCAUUCCGGGUCCAUUUCUCAGAAAAAAGCUUCAAUCAGGCUGAAACAUCACAGAAAAGUAGAAUCUAUUGAGUUGUAAACGAUUCCUGUGUUUCAUGGUCAUAGCACAUUCCCAAGGCUGUCAAAUCAGGUCAUAAAGGUCACCGGAUCACUUGUUCCUUAAAGGCGGGGUCCAAACACACCUUUGUGGGCUUAUAACUUGGCUUCUGAAUGUCUCAGAGAGGUCAGGUUUGUCUUAGUGUACUCCAUUCAACAGCCCCUAUUACCUGAAAAAGGAGUGGAGUCAUUAGCACUUAUGGUUUUUAAAUGGUACCCAGAAUUAUGUUGCACAAAGCAAAAUUUCACAUCAUUCUGGGUUCAUUUGUGUGAAAACAAGGUCCAUUCAGGCUGAAACGUUACAGGAAGGUAGAAUCUAUUGAGUUGUAAGUGAUCUGAACGUUUCAUGAUGAUAGCACUUUCCUAAGGGGGUCAAACCAUGUCCCAAAGGUCACCGGAUCUGGUGUCACUUUAAAGAAGUAAUCCAGUUACACAUUUGUGGGCUUAUAACUUUUCUUCUGAAUGUCCUAGAGAGGUCAGGUUUGGUUUAGAGUACUCCAAUUAACAGCUCCUACAACCCCAAAAAGGAAUGGAGUCAUUAGCACUUAAGGUUUUUAAAUGGCACCCAGAGUUAUGUUGCACAAAGCACAAUUUCACAUCAUUCUGGGUCCAUUUGUGUGAAAACAAGGUCCAAUCAGGCUGAAACGUUACAGGAAGGUAGAAUCUAUUGAGUUGUAAGUGAUCUGAACGUUUCAUGAUGAUAGCACUUUCCUAAGGGGGUCAAACCAUGUUCCAAAGGUCACCGGAUCUGGUGUCAAUUUAAAGGAGACAUAACAUGAAAAACCCACUUUUUUAUCCAUUAACACAGUGUGUUUCACAUUUUAAGUGUCUAAGUGAGCAAAAAGGCUUAUAUUAUUCACUGGAGUUGCUAUUUAGAUAUUUAAUAAUUAAGUUUUGGGCAUAUUUGUCCACCCGUUCAGUUUUUCACAUUAUCUAUUACAUCAGUAAUUUAUUUCGUCAGGAUAACUUCCAAAUAUGGUAAUGGCCCUUGGCUAAACACAGAGCCAAUCCGCCAUUUUUUCUUCUCGCUAAGAUUUUUUGUAGUCCUAUUGGAAAAAUGCAGAAUGUCUGGUUAUUUUAGCCACACACAGCUCAAAACUGUUCCUCGUUUUAAGGAAGGGUGGUGUGGCAGUAUUUAAACCCAGGAGCUGAUGACACUACUGCUAAAAAAAACACAGAAGAAAAAGUAGUGUGUGUUUGUGUGUGUGUGUGUGUGCGCGCGCGCGUGUGGUUUGUUCGUUCUGUCUCCAGGCUAGUGGCUAAGUACUGAUGGCUUCAUCUAUCUAAAAUGAGUCCUUUCCAUCUGAAUGUGGCAGCACCGGGACACAGCAGCAGAGCGGUAAGCUUCAUAUAACUCUAAAAUGUCGACAAACUUUACUUUAGAUUUACGGGCAUUAGCAGCACUAAAGCGUUAGCAUCCGGCUUGCUAUCGCUAGCACAGUAUGCUAGUAAAGUUAGCACCCAGAUUAAUGUGGAUUUGGCUGAUUUUCGUGGAAUAAAACGUGAUUUCUGAUCAACGCCUUCUUUUACACCAGAUGAUAACCUUCCACUGAUUGUAACAGCAGAGAGCCUGUGUGUUAUUCUACGUGAGUGUGAUGUAAUCUUAGCAUCCAGUAAAUAAAGUCCCAUAUCAGCUAAAAUGCAGCGUGACAAAGUCAUUAAAGUGCGUCAUCACAGUGGAUUUAAUAGAGUUUUAAAGAACGAUCUCUGAGUGAAGUGAGGUUAGUUUUUGUCUCACUGCAGAUAUAAAAACUAACUGCAUCAGUCAGACGCAGCAAAGCUCAUCGUCUGUAUGAGCGUCGGAAAGCUGAUAAAAUCGGCUGUAAAAUAAUUAAAACAAAAGUAAAAAUGCUCCUUUGCUUUUUACAGUCCACAUCCAGCAGGCUGGAGCCGUGUUUCACUGACAGGCUGUCAGACUAAAGCCCUGAUGAGCUCAGCUGGGACAAACUGGUCUGAUGUUUAGGAACACAGAACGUUCAGAUGUUGGAGCUUCACGACACCUACUGAGGAAGGAGACCCACCAGUAAAGAGAUGGUAGCUGGACCAGACCAAAAAUAUGGCGAUGACAUCAUGGAACUGGCCUUUGGAAAAGUUUUCCCUGAACCAACUCCGUUUCUAGAUGAGGUAGAGAAGAUCUGCAUCUCACCAACUCUCCGGUCUCAGUAUUCAGACAACAGAGGUCUCCCACUGUUAUCCAGGACCAGUUUGAAGCCCACAUACUGCCCCUCCCUCAUCAGGAAACAUCAAUCCGUAUCCUGAGGACAACAGAAGACGGCAGGAGGACAGGAACUCUGAGACCUAGAUACCACCAGCACCGGGACCCAAAGCACCUGUGUGCACAACGCCUGUUUAACUACUAAAGCCUGUUUAUUAUAUUGUUCUACUUAUUUGCUGUGAGGUUAAUACUUAGAAAAUUUGUAUAUUAAUGUAAACAAUUUAAAAAAUCACUGAUUGUAUGUUUUCUUUUAGAUGUAAUGGUCCCAACUCAGCCUUGUAGACAUUUACUGCAUCCUGUAGGUAAAUACACAGAACAGGCUCAGAUCCAGGAUGACCCAGCAUGCUCUUCUUCCAUUCUGGCUGUUAGGGAUUUUAUCAAUAACUCAAUGCCUACUGAUGUUUUCACCUAACGGUAUUUAUUUAGAAUGCAGGUAAGAUUUAACUAUAUUUGUUAGCAAAGCAGACUGAUCUUGGGAAUUUCACUGCAGCACUGAUGUCCACCUCUGUGUACACAUUAGAGAGAAUUACCACUUUACAGCUAAACACAUUUAAUAAAGAUAUAGGCUACGCAUUGCAGACAAUAAAAACAAAGUUGUAAGCAUUAGAAUUAUAAUGAUCACAUUAAAGAACAUUUGGAGGAA